UCCGCCGGGGUGCUGACGGCGGUGGCCUCCCUGUGAGCGGAGCCCGGCCUGGGCAGCGGCAGGGCCGUAGGACCUCGCGCAACGUCCGGGCUCCGGGGCGGGGGCUGUGGGGGCGAAGCCCCCUCCCCGGGGAGGCGGGGCCUGGGCGAGCUCCCCGCUUGGGGAGCGGCGGUGGCUGGGAAGGAUGCAUCAGAAGCUGCUGAAGAGCGCACAUUAUAUCGAGCUGGGCAGCUACCAGUACUGGCCCGUCCUGGUGCCCCGCGGCAUCCGCCUCUACACCUACGAGCAGAUUCCCGUGUCCCUCAAGGACAACCCGUACAUCACCGACGGCUACCGGGCCUACCUGCCCUCCAGGCUGUGUAUCAAAAGUUUGUUUAUUUUAUCUAAUGAGACGGUAAACAUCUGGAGUCAUUUGCUGGGUUUCUUUCUCUUCUUCACGCUGGGAAUAUAUGACAUGACAUCUGUGUUACCUUCAGCAAGUGCAUCCAGAGAAGACUUUGUAAUUUGUUCUAUUUGCCUUUUCUGCUUCCAGGUCUGUAUGCUUUGCUCUGUGGGCUAUCAUCUUUUUUCCUGCCAUCGAUCAGAAAAAACCUGUCGAAGAUGGAUGGCAUUAGAUUAUGCAGGAAUUUCUAUUGGAAUACUGGGCUGCUAUGUCUCCGGCGUAUUUUAUGCAUUUUAUUGUAAUAAUUACUGGCGGCAGGUGUACUUGAUCACAGUGCUUGCUAUGAUCCUGGCGGUGUUCUUUGCUCAGAUCCAUCCCAAUUACCUCACACAGCAGUGGCAGAGGCUCCGUUCUAUCAUCUUUUGUUCUGUUUCGGGAUAUGGAGUGAUCCCUACUCUUCACUGGGUUUGGCUCAAUGGAGGACUCGGUGCUCCUAUUGUACAGGACUUUGCACCUCGUGUAAUUGUGAUGUAUGUGAUUGCUCUUCUUGCUUUCCUAUUCUACAUUUCCAAAGUUCCAGAAAGGUAUUUUCCAGGACAACUAAACUACCUCGGAUCAAGCCACCAAAUAUGGCAUGUCCUUGCAGUAGUGAUGUUAUAUUGGUGGCAUCAGUCAACAGUGUAUGUCAUGCAGUACAGACAUAGCAAGCCUUGUCCUGACUAUGUUUCACAUUUGUGAAUUCAGAAUCAGGAAUGAAGCUUCAGGGAAUGUGUGUCACAUCUUAAUGGCAUCCCGCCUGGACAGAGUAACCGAUUUGAAGAUUGUGAUUGACUGGCAUAAAGCUGUACGACUCUCCAUUUGGCAGGAGUUAAUAAGAAGAGUCCGUCAGAAGUUAUCUACUGUUUAGAAGGAAACGGAGCAGCACCGAAUGGGUCCAGUUCGACUGGCUGGGCCUGUUGGGACUGAUGUGAGGUGACGCUUUGCACCACGAGUUCUGUAAAGGGCACGGCACCAAAAUCAUCCAUUUUCAACGCAUCUGCCCCGGGGAACGACCCGUGGAGUGAAUUCGGCCUGGGCCGCCCGGGCAGGACGGGGUUGUGGUCGGCACGGAUGUCGCUCAGGCCCUGAUGCGGGGGGUGCCACGGCAGGUCCGGAGGGUGGAACGGCUUGGCCCCAAAGGGGUCCAACAGACCCUCAUCGGCUUGCAGGACAUGCCCUCUGUCCUUCCCGUCGGUCAGGGCAACGCUGAUGUUCUCCUUGGAGUCCGAGAUGGUCAGAAAUUCAUUGCUGCUCUGGGAGUCCCGGCGGCCCACCCUCUUGUGCCUGCGGGCCCUCUCUGGGGUGCGGUAGGCGGGCUUGGCCGGCUUUUUGGCGCCGGUGGGCGUGCCGUGGUGCCGCUUCCCGUUACUCUUGGCCGCCUCCUGCUUCGUGCGCCUCUGGCGGGAGGACAGUUUCUGCAAGCUGCGCUGCUUGACUUUUUGCUGCUGACUGCCGGUUAUCUCCUCAAAGGGCACCAGCCCAAAAAGGUCCUCGUUGCUGUCGCUUUUACUUGCUGAUGCGGGCAAGGGCUGGAACGGAGUGGAGCCAAAUAUAUCCACACUCUGCGGACAAGCGGGGAGAGCGGGCGCGUCGGGCACGGGCACCUUCUUGCUGAAGGGCGCCUUUGUGAAGACAUCGAACUCCUCCGGCUCCAGCCCCGCGGCGGGAAGCCGGCUCUGGGGACAGGGGUCCUGCUCCGGCUCCCCUUGGCGGGGCUGUUGAGCACGCGCAGCAAAGAAGGGGACAGCGCCGAAGACAUCGAACUCCGGUCUGGGAGUCCCCGCUCCGACGUCCGAGGGUAACUGCGUGGGCGUGAGCAGUGCUGCACUAGGGUCCUGGAUCGCUGCACUGCCAGCUGGGUCUCUGUAGACCGGGCUUGCGCUGCUGUACUUGGCUUUGGCCUGCUCGUAAUCCGAAUCGGAGCUGUGUUUCUCUUCUUCUUCCUCAUCUUCAGAAUCCAUAAGCAGAGGCCUGUGACCCAGGUUUUCCGGUUCCGUGUCGUCAUCGUUAAAAUCUCCCUGUUCUCCCUGAAGAACUUCUUCAUCCUCUUGCUCUUCCUCUUCGCUGCUCUUAGGAGAAGGGGGGUCCGACUCAAAAUCACUCUCGGAUUCAUCGUUCCCCUUCUGCACUGGACCGGGUACCGAUGGAUUCUCUGAGGGUUUCUUUCCAGUCCGGUGGUCUUUAGAUACUGGGCUUGCUUUUGUAUUCUUGAUAGGGUUUGCAGUGCUCUUUUCUUGAUUCAUGGAUGAAUGUUCAACUUUCUUUUCAGGAGAACCUGCAGAUUCAAAGAAAAAUUAUUAUAUCAUUCCAAUGCAUCUCAAAAACCAUUUGCAGUAAACAUUAUGUACUAACACAAAGCGUUACAGAUCACUCACGGCAGUUCCCUUAGAGGAAGAUGUAAGGGCAGUUCUUUAUCAUUAGGCUUGGGGGAUGCACCUGGCCUCACAGUCGAUGGUUAGGUCGUUCAGUGCAGGCAGACUUACUUGUCUCUCUACCCUACACACCACCUCCUCACCAUAGGUGCUCGCUGACAGCUAAGUCUCACUUACAGUACCCAGAACAGGACUGUGAAUACAGUCCACAAGCACAUGCUCUUCUUCCACCUUCAACCUAAGACUAUCCAGACAGUUGCCCCGCUCAGAGCCCACGUUUACCCAAGAGCCUUCUGCUUAUAUUUCAACUCUGUUACAAAGUUUUCCCACAGAGAUCAGCAAGCGUGAAUAGCUUAUCUGCUUAGUUAUGUUUCGCUGUGUAAUUUUUAAAUUGGUAUUCUGGUGUUUUUUUGUAAACAAGUAUCUUAUGAGUUGGGUUAACAUAUGAGCGCAUCCCCACAGCCUGAUCAGAACUAAGGACCAGCUACUGAACUGAGACGGUACCAAGGAUAUCUGCCUUCCCUAGAUGCCACAUCUUCCUUAAACUGUCAUACCUAUACUACUGGACAUUACAUUAAAA